UACAUAGCGUAUUAGAGGUAGACGCAGAGAACUGAAACAUCUAAGUACCUGCAGGAAGAGAAAGAAAAUUCGAUUUCCUUAGUAGCGGCGAGCGAAACGGAAAGAGCCCAAACCAACAAGCUUGCUUGUUGGGGUUGUAGGACUCAGCCAUGGUAGUGUUGAAUGAUAGUCGAAUCGACCUGGAAAGGUCAGCCGGAGUGGGUAAAAGCCCCGUAGACGAAAUCAGUCGCACACCUAUGAGUAUCCUGAGUACGGCGGAACACGUGAAAUUCCGUCGGAAUCCGGGAGGACCAUCUCCCAAGGCUAAAUACUCUCUAGUGACCGAUAGUGAACCAGUACCGUGAGGGAAAGGUGAAAAGCACCCCGGAAGGGGAGUGAAAUAGAACCUGAAACCGUGUGCUUACAACAAGUCAAAGCCCGUUAAUGGGUGAUGGCGUGCCUUUUGUAGAAUGAACCGGCGAGUUACGAUUGCGUGCGAGGUUAAGCUGAAGAAGCGGAGCCGUAGCGAAAGCGAGUCUGAAUAGGGCGAAUGAGUACGUAGUCGUAGACCCGAAACCAUGUGAUCUACCCAUGUCCAGGUUGAAGGUGCGGUAAAACGCACUGGAGGACCGAACCCACGUACGUUGAAAAGUGCGGGGAUGAGGUGUGGGUAGCGGAGAAAUUCCAAACGAACUUGGAGAUAGCUGGUUCUCUCCGAAAUAGCUUUAGGGCUAGCCUCGGACGUGUAGAAUAAUGGAGGUAGAGCCACUGUUUGGACUAGGGG
rnacentral:rRNA from 1 species